CUUUCUCGGCGGCACCUCCGGGUUAUAAAUAGAUCUUUGGUUCAGAGACGCUGUGUCAGAGAAGGACACAUUGGCUUGGAGAGCAGAGGCAGGGAAGAGGGGUGCUGGAUCCGGAGGAGAUGGGGGAGGCGGUGCAGGGAGUUUUGCCUUUUUUCAGACCAACCGAUGGUUCUGUCACCGCAGUUUAGUGCCAGGAAGAGGCCUAACUUAACAGUAGUUUUCUCGCAAGGUCCUGGUGCUAGAACAGGACCAGACUGAUUUUAUUUUGAUCUCUUUUAGCAUUUGGAAAACGAAGCAGAAGCUCAACAAUCAGCGGCGAGCCUGUUGGAAGAACCAACACGUGUGUGUUUCACAGCACUCUGGGUGGAAAUUGGAUGUGAAAAUGAAGCCAGACCGAGAUACUCUCGAUGAAUAUUUUGAAUAUGAUGCAGAGGAGUUCUUGGUCUCUUUGGCCCUGCUAAUAACAGAAGGACGAACACCUGAAUGUUCUGUAAAAGGUCGAACGGAAAGUUUUCAUUGCCCUCCAGCACAGUCUUGUUACCCAGUAACUACCAAACAUGAAUGUAAUGACAAGCUGGCUCAGUGUCGCCAAGCCAGACGAACUAGGUCUGAGGUCACACUGUUGUGGAAAAAUAAUCUUCCAAUCAUGGUAGAAGUGAUGCUACUACCAGACUGCUGCUACAGCGAUGAUGGGCCCACCACAGAAGGAAUUGAUCUAAAUGAUCCUGCAAUUAAGCAAGAUGCAUUAUUAUUAGAAAGAUGGAUCUUGGAGCCAGUUCCUCGACAGAGUGGCGAUCGAUUUAUUGAAGAGAAGGCUCUUCUGUUGGCUGUUCGUUCAUUUGUGUUUUUUUCUCAGUUAAGUGCUUGGCUGAGUGUUUCUCAUGGUGCUAUUCCACGGAAUAUUCUCUACAGAAUCAGUGCUGCUGAUGUAGACCUACAGUGGAAUUUUUCACAGACUCCAACUGAGCAUGUGUUUCCUGUUCCCAAUGUUUCUCACAAUGUGGCCUUGAAAGUCAGCGUUCAGUCCUUGCCCAGACAAUCAAAUUACCCAGUUUUGACCUGUAGUAUUCACACUAAUAUUGGCCUUUAUGAGAAAAGAAUUCAAGAACAUGAACUUAAAACCCAUCAGCACCGCAAUUCUAAUGAAGCAGAACAAUGUAGUACAAACAGUUCACAGCGUCUGUGUAGCAAACAAACUUGGACCAUGGCACCUGAAAGUGUAUUACAUGCAAAAUAUGGCACAACUCCAGAAUAUACUUCAGCUGUCAAAAAUGUCAGACUGUAUCCAGGCACUGGCAGUAAAUCAGACUAUGGGACAUCUCAAGCCAAUAUUCUGGGCUUUAGUGGCAUAGGUGAUAUAAAGUCACAUGAGACAUCAGUAAGAACUUUAAAAUCAUUUUCAGUUACUGAUCCUAGUGUGUCUGGCCGCCAGAGCUCCUGGCAGUCAGUCGGCGAAACAAACCCUUUAAUAGGCUCUUUAAUUCAGGAGCGACAAGAAGUUAUUGCAAGAAUUGCUCAGCACUUGAUUCAUUGUGAUCCAAGCACUUCGCAUGUUUCUGGACAUCCAUUUAAUACUCUAGAGUCUAGUUCACUUCAUUCAAAACUUAACCGGGUUUCACAAGAAAAUGAAAAUUUGAGAAAAUAUAAAGAAACUUUCUCCAUUUCUUUUGGUAGUCCAGAGUUUACCUCCCCAGAAGGCACCAAUGAGGUCAAAAUUCGACUAAAACCAGAAACUCUUCGCAAUGAACCUUGCAAUUCUAAUGGUCUUUAUUCUCGUCAGUCUAUUGGAGAGGCUAAUCCUUUAAUAGGCUCUUUACUCCAGGAGCGGCAAGAUGUUAUCGCAAGGAUUGCUCAACACUUGGAGCACAUUGAUCCAACAGCAUCGCAUAUUUCCCGACAGUCAUUCAACUUGCAUGACUCCAGUUCAGUUCCUUCUAAAGUGUUCAGGAGUUCAUAUGAAGACAAAAAUUUGUUGAAAAAUAAAGAUGAUUCUUCUGUUUCCAUAUCUCAUACAAAAUGUUCCUUAUUAGGAGACAGCAAUUGUGGGGAAAACGUAAUACCUAAUAAAUCUUUUAAUUCUUUUAAAUGCAAUAGUAAAGAAAAGUGUUCUUUGAAACCUCAAAUAAGAAAUCAGUAUCAGAACAAUCCUAGUGAAAUCAUCCAAAGUACAUAUCAGGAGACACAGAACAAAGCUGCUAGUUUAUUGACUUUCUCAAAUUGCAAAGAAAAUCACUUCGAUUUGACAAACAGAUUUAAGAAGCAAGAAAUGAGCAUUGAAAUUGAUAAACAGUAUUCAAAGUGCAGCAGUAUUGAGAAGCAGACUUGCACAAAUAAAUAUAAGGAAAAAAUAAUACAAAAUGAGAAUUAUAAUCCAGAAUCCCUUGACAAUCUCCAAUUUGAUAAUUCAAAAAAAAGUGACUCCAAAAUAAAAGUUACAACGUUGGAAAUGCCUGAAUAUUUAAACAGACAUGAAAAUAAGUGCUCAUAUAAAGACUCCAAAAGGCCUAAUUCAUGUGAGCAAAAUACUCAACUUAAUAGCAUAGAAAAUUAUCUAAAAAAUAAUGAAGGUUUCAAAUGCAAAAAGUCAGACCAAUUAAAAAGUGAACAGGAUAAGAAAGAAGAUUCAAUUGCUGAAAAAUCUCAAAACUGUUUUCAGAGAAGUAUAAAAGACUAUCUGUCUCCAUAUGAACGACCAAAAAAUACAGAGGUGUUGAGGACUACACUGAAACAUUCAAAUGUCUGGAGAAAACAUAAUUUUCAUUCCUUGGAUGGAACCUCAACCAGAGCCUUUCAUCCUCAAACUGGAUUGCCUCUUCUUUCAAGUCCGGUUCCUCAAAGAAAAACACAAUCAGGUUGCUUUGAUCUGGAUUCUUCAUUACUGCAUCUGAAAAACUUCUCAUCUAGAAGUCCUCGACCAUGUUUAAACAUUGAAGAUGAUCCAGAUAUUCACGAAAAACCAUUUUUGAGUUCUAGUGCUCCACCUAUAAGUCUUAGUCUCCUAGGAAAUUUUGAGGAAUCUGUCUUGAACUAUCGUUUAGAUCCUCUUGGCACUGUGGAUGGUUUUACUGCUGAGGUAGGGGCAAGUGGUGUUUUCUGCCCCACACAUUUGACUCUUCCUGUUGAAGUGUCAUUCUACAGUGUUUCAGAUGAUAAUGCUCCCUCUCCUUAUAUGGGUGUGAUUACUUUAGAGUCCCUUGGUAAAAGGGGUUAUCGAGUACCUCCUUCAGGAACAAUACAAGUGGUAUGUGUUUUAUAGCCUACAAUUGCAAUAAUCAUUCUCUCACAUACAUAUAGAACUUAGCCCUUUCUCCUGCUACUGCUGCUGCAACAAUUUUGACCUUAUUUAAUCCUAAUAAGACUGUGGUGAAGAUGUUUGUUGUGAUAUAUGACUUACGAGAUAUGCCAGCCAAUCAUCAGACAUUCCUACGACAAAGAACUUUUUCUGUACCGGUUAAACAAGAAAUGAAGAGAAAUGUUAAUAAGGAGAACAUCCGACAUACAGAAGAACGGUUAUUACGCUACCUCAUACAUCUGAGGUUCCAGAGUUCUAAAUCUGGAAAGAUCUACCUCCAUAGAGAUGUUCGGCUCCUGUUCUCUAGAAAGUCAAUGGAGGUUGAUAGCGGUGCUGCAUAUGAACUCAAAUCUUACACUGAAUCACCAACAAACCCUCAGUUUUCACCAAGAUGUUGAUAAGGAGUGAUAAUUUAAAGUAUUCACUCAGUACCCAAGUUUGCAAGUAAAAAUUAGCAUAGAAUGGAGUGUACAAGUUAACAGUCAGGAGAGUGGAUCCUCUCCUGUUAUCCUGGACCAGUUUCUAUUAAAGGAUUCUUGAAAUGAGAUCCACAUAUUCCAAGUAGACUGGAAACACUCAUGUCCUAAUCUUUUUUGUACUGUUGAAACCACUUCGUUGGACAUGUUGCAAUAGCAAAACCCCCAGUUAGAGUAGUGUUUACACAUUUUAUUUCUCAGUUAUUUAAUAUUUAAUGUUUUCCUUAAUACUCAAGUGAUGUUUGUCUCUAGUGUUCUAAUGUAGCACAAAUCCUAUGUAAAAUCAUACUAUGUAUUUUUGACAUUAAUGUUGAAAUCUGAAAUAUAUGCACAAGUCUUUAAUUUUGUGUGAUGUGUUUUAAGUACUAUUCAUUUAAGUUAUUGAAAAUGAGAAUGAAAUGUUGAGCUUCUUUAAAAAUUAACGCACUAUGCAAGCAUGUGUACUUUUUAUAUUCCUCAAGUUUAGUUUUUAUAACACCCCAUCCAGGUUGCUGUCUCACACCAUAGUCCUUUAACAUGCUGUGUUAGCAGUGUGGUAUGGACUAAGCUGCUUCACAUUCCCCUUGCAAGUUCCGGUCGUCAUGCCCAUUCAUAUUCCUUCUAGGGUUCUUUACCCAAAAGCAGGUCUAUUUUUCCUUAAUCACUACUAUAGAAUCUUUACAUUAAAUUGCUGUCCUAUGCUAGAUAACUUUCUCAAAUUGUUAAAACAAUAUGUACUUUGAAAACAAAUUAGUAUUUAUAUUGUAAAUAUAUGCAAAAAACUAA